rnacentral:lncRNA from 1 species
UGAAAGUGUUCUUUGAAAUUAGGCUUUGAGCUUGACUCUAGAGAUCCUAAGGAAAUAAUGUGACACCCCUCCCUCCCAAAUCCUAGUACUGUAUUAUGACAUAAAACAGUAUAAAAAUACUCUCAGAUGUGCCUCUGCCUUAACCACAUGAUUGCUAAGAGCUGGCUCCUCACUCCCUGUGGGGCCUGUCCAAACAUCCAUCACUGAAAACCCUGCAGAACUCAGCCUUAACGAGACAGUGCUCUGUCAGAGAGACUUCUCUCCUUGUCUUGGCCACCAUGGGCAUGGAAGUCUUGACUUGAAUACAUUAGGGAGGACUUCUCAGAUCUGUCUUGCCAACUGGGGCAAGAAGGGAGACCAAGCCCUUGGAGCUUGUCCACACCUUCCCAGAGCAUUCCAGAUGCUGUGGAAUUUUGUUUCCAUUUUCCAUCUCCUCUGCUGACAAUCUUACCCUCUGCCAUGAUGUCAACUAACAGCUCCACAGGGGGUGAUCAAAAGGCCUGUCUCCAGCUGUGAUCUCUUUCCCAAGUUCCAGAUUUACACAGCCUGCCCCACCUGGGCACAAGGGUGCUUCAUCAAAAGAGCCAGAAAAACAUCUUGCACCAGAUUGCAGGCCAUUCUUAAAAAGGCAUGUUGGAGAUGAGGCACCCUAUCAUCACAGGAAGUGGUUUUACACUGGAAAGAAGCAUGCUGUGCAGGUGGCCUUCCCUAGGGGCCUCUGAAGGAGAAUAAGCCAUGGACUCAUGGAAAGGAGUUCUACUCUGAAGGGGAGAUGCCGGGCAUCCAUCCCAUUUUCUGAAACAGAGGAGCCAUGGAAGAGUCUCUGUGCCUCCAUGAAAGUGAGUGGAGCUCCCCAAGGCUGGAGGGAAGACUGGAGGGAGAUGCUGUUUGGCUGCACUUAACUCAGGCUGAGUCUGGCCAAGAAGGAGCUUCUCCUCCCUUCUUUUCUAUGAGUGAGGACAGGUCUACAUGCAUAGUCCCUUCAAAGUCAAGUGGACCUGUUUUUGGCUCCCCUACCUCAGCUCCAGGUUUAUCAAUCAGGAUCAUGACACGGUCGUCUCCAAUUAAACUGCUACACUCCUGAGGUCCUGCUACCUCAGAGGUCCUGCACAUGUGUGGGCUCAAUUAUCCACUUCCUGAAGUACCUGCAUUCCCCAGCAUCCUUCCCAGUCUCCACGGAUCCAACACAAAGAUGUUUCAGAUCUGUUCCAUCCCUUGCAGGAAAGAAAGUUACCACAGAUAUGUUUCAUCCAAAAGUAUCUUUGAGCAUUGCAUUAAAAUCUUGUCACGUUCUUUCUUGUCUGAUUGUGGAUAUACCGAAAAGCCGUGAGUAUUAUCAAAACCAUCUUGGAGAACAAUCACUGAGGGGAGAUACGAGUUUCUG